UACGUAGGUGGCAAGCGUUAUCCGGAUUUAUUGGGCGUAAAGGGAACGCAGGCGGUCUUUUAAGUCUGAUGUGAAAGCCUUCGACUUAACCGGAGUAGUGCAUUGGAAACUGGGAGACUUGAGUGCAGAAGAGGAGAGUGGAACUCCAUGUGUAGCGGUGAAAUGCGUAGAUAUAUGGAAGAACACCAGUGGCGAAAGCGGCUCUCUGGUCUGUAACUGACGCUGAGGUUCGAAAGCGUGGGUAGCAAACAGG
rnacentral:rRNA from 1 species